GCCGGAUUUGGAGCGCGGCGCCGGCGGGGGCCGGAGGGGGCGGCGCGGCGGACCUCGGUGGCCUCGGACGCUCCUCCUCGUGAGCGGCCGCCGCCCGCCUCCGCCUGCGCUAGCAGCUCCCUCGCCCCGGCCGGCACCAGCUGCCCUCCAGGCGGCUCACCUGGGACGCGCAUACCUGGGACGCGGUGCCCGGCGCCCGCACUUGGGCCAGGAUGAAGGACCGGCUGGAGCAACUGAAGGCCAAGCAGCUGACACAGGAUGACGACACUGAGGACGUUGAGAUCGCUAUCGACAAUACAGCCUUCAUGGAUGAGUUCUUUUCUGAGAUUGAGGAAACUCGACUCAACAUUGACAAGAUCUCGGAGAGUGUGGAGGAAGCUAAGAAACUCUACAGUGUCAUUCUAUCUGCACCGAUUCCAGAGCCAAAAACCAAAGAUGACCUUGAACAGCUCACAACUGAGAUCAAGAAGAGGGCCAACAAUGUCCGGAACAAGCUGAAGAGUAUGGAGAAGCAUAUUGAAGAAGAUGAUGUCCGGUCCUCAGCAGACCUCAGGAUCCGAAAGUCCCAGCAUUCUGUCCUCUCCCGGAAGUUUGUGGAGGUGAUGACAAAAUACAACGAGGCUCAGGUGGACUUCCGUGAGCGAAGCAAAGGGCGCAUCCAGCGGCAGCUUGAAAUUACUGGCAAGAAGACAACAGAUGAGGAGCUGGAAGAGAUGUUGGAGAGUGGUAACCCUUCCAUCUUCACUUCCGGGAUCAUCGACUCGCAGAUUUCCAAGCAAGCCCUCAGUGAGAUUGAGGGUCGGCACAAGGAUAUCGUGAGGCUGGAGAGCAGCAUCAAGGAGCUCCAUGACAUGUUUAUGGACAUCGCCAUGCUGGUGGAGAAUCAGGGAGCCAUGAUUGAUCGUAUUGAGAGCAACAUGGACCAGUCAGUGGGCUUUGUGGAGCGGGCUGUGGCAGAUACCAAAAAGGCUGUCAAGUAUCAGAGUGAAGCCCGGAGGAACCUGAUUUCACUCCAGCUUGGCCUGACCACUCUUGUCUCCAGAUGGGAAUGGAGUCCUAAUGGCCUGAGAACGAGGGCACCUGUUCCUUUAUUUCCCUGUAACCGCCCUUGGACCUGGCUCAGCAACCUACCCCUGGAGGAAUCUAACCUACCUGGUGCAGCCCUGAGUUCUCCUCAGAAUCACCUCCCACCCUAGCAGCUGAAGCACCCUCCCUCCUGGACUGUGUGAGGCACCCAGCUUUUCCUCCCUUCUACUGUGUCAGUUAUGCCUUGUGUGUCGGAAAGUCCCUGUGAGACCAGCCUGAGGCGCUGUUUUUCUACCUCAUAGAACAUUCUCCUGGAAUAUACUUUGUAGGGGAGUAACUAACAAAAUAGUGGGGUUUUUCUAAGUUUGUCAGUAGUGUGGCUUGAAUCAGAGCCCCUAGCUGGCAAGACGCCAGUCCUUAGUUUGUUGUCCUAUGUCCUGAAAGCACGGGGAACUAACAGAAGCCAUUUUGGCCUUCUAAGUUGACUUAUUAGAAACCCACCCUUUAAUUAAGCUCCCAGUUCAGCUUGCAGGCCACUUUGAAUUUUCUCUGUAUUCGCUCAUUUACUCAGAGUGAUCAGGGUGAUAGUCCUCUGAGGCUGAGGUUGGCAGAGACUGAGGUUAUGGAAUACGCUUCCACGUCUGAGUCUUGGAAACUGGCUAAUCAUUGUUAGAGAAUCGUUCUUCGUGAAGCCAUUACUUUGAGUCCAAGCAGAACCAGGGAUUUACAACUGGGCCAGGGACAAGGUGCUACAGUCUCAGGCUCUGAAAGUGUCAGUCAUUUGUGUGUUCCAGGUGUACUUUUAUAAUUGUAUGUGAGAGAUAUGUACAUAUUUGUCUGCCUCUAGAACUACUAUGUUCUCAAAAGAAAGAAAGAAAGAAAAAAGUGAGAAGGUAAACAACAGACUUUGGCGAAAAUCAGUAAGGGGCAUGUGUCUAGCUCAAGUGAUCACUGUAGAAAUGUGAUUUCCCCUUGCCAGCCCAGAGCUUGUUUUCUGGAUGGUUGCUGAGACGGGAAUCAAAUGAGACCUUUGGAGUAAGGACCGAGUUGAUUCCCAUUGAAUUUUUCUGCAUAACAGAGAGUGUAAUAUUUAUUUAUUCCCACCUGCUGCCUACAAGAGAGUGGUCCAGAGAGCAUCCUGCAGCUACCUGAUGUUAUCUGCACUAUCCAUGUGAUGUCCCUCUCUGGCAGGAGACUUGGGAGGCUACAGAGCAGCUCUUCCUGCUCUCUUGUCUCCUGCGAGUCUUACCAUGGAGGCAACAGCCUGGAAGUCUUUAGUGAUUGCAACCCAGUGGUAAGCCUUACACCUUUGGUGGUUCCUGCCAUUACCCUGAUUGGAUAAUUAAGACCCAACUUUAAUAUUUUGUGGGUCAGGGUGAAUAUUCUAAUCCAGAUCCUGCCCAUGAGCUUCCUUUGUAAAGGCUCUUUCUUCAGUCACCCAGCACUCAAGACAGAGCCACAGGGAUGCCCUCCUCCCUAUGGCUGUGAUGUCUGACUGGAUAAGGGCCCCAGCAAGGAGGGGAGAUAACCCUCAGUGCAGGCCUUCUCUCUCCUCUGACCAUGAGUUCGGGGGCAUAAAAGUUCUAAACGAAUGUCACAUGUGAAGGGCUUUUGUUGUUUGUAUUUUUUUAAAUGUAAACUUGAUUAUUUUAUUGCUAAUUUAAAAAUAAAUGACUUUAUAUUGAUUGCAAAACACUUUGGUGAUUUGGUGUCACCAUGUGGUGACUUUUGGUGCCCCAGAAGAGACUGUCACUCAAUUUGAUCUAGUAGGAAGUAGGGGACCUGUUGGGAUGCUAUCCAGAAGGCAGAAGGGGCAAGCCACAGAUCCCUGUGGAUAUGAUUUUAAGUCUAACCUGGAAACAUUCCUGUGAACAGGCCAGAUCCAUCCAUUUUCCUUCUGGCGCUUCCUGUCUCCUCCCUCUCCCGUGUCUAGCUGUACCUGUCCCCUUUCGUAGUGUGUAUCUGCACAGUGAUGCUGUUUCUCAUGUCAUUCUCUCUCCUUAUGAUGAGCAGAAGAAGAUCAUGAUCAUGAUCUGCUGUAUUAUCCUUGCCAUCAUCUUGGCUUCCACCAUUGGGGGCAUAUUUGCCUGAAAAAGAUGGAAUCUCAACAGGCAUCUCCAGUCUUCCACCUCUGGUGCCGUCACUUCUCCCUUCAGAGUCCUCGACAACUCUGCCUCUUUUCAUUAGUAAACUUACAACACAGGGCACCAAUCAACUGCUUUUCAAUGUUACACAGAGGGGGAAGAAAUGAAUUGAAGGUGGUAUGGAUGAGAAACAGGGAGCACAGCAAUGUGCAGCUGGUUUGGAUGUUCUUGAAGGGCAGGCCUGUGUGGUAGAGAAGCAUAAUGGGCCCCUGCUAGGGUACAACAUGAGCCAGAAUGCCAGGACAGUGAAGAGGCAGGUAUUAUAAUGCCAAAUUCACAGGGUCUUCAGUGCACUCUGUGAGUCUGUCUCUCAGAAUGCGGUACUCAGUACUUUACUCUUAAGGCUCUUCUAGGCCUCAACCGUAGCCAACCACAUUUCUGCUUCCUUCUUCAGGGUCCAAGAAUAAUUUUGAAGCCUAGACUGUUUCAGGAUUGGCACCAUGCCUGUCUUUACCACCACCAUGUCCCCACUGCUUAGCACGUGCCUGCCACCUCCACAUACUCGCUUACUUGUAGUCGAGCUUUGAUUUCAUUCAUGGAAGAGUUCUCAAGCCUGGUUUUUAAACUCUUUAAGGUAUCAUAGGGAACAUGGUUUAUUGCUAUCAGAGGCUUAUGCAAAAGUACUACAACCACCCCCGUUA